GACGAACGCUGGCGGCGCGCUUAACACAUGCAAGUCGAGCGAGAAUCAGAGCUUCGGCUCUGAGGACAGCGGCGAACGGGUGAGUAACACGUGGGUAAUCUGCCCUCGAUUCUGGGAUAGCCCGGGGAAACUCGGAUUAAUACCGGAUAGCCUUUCGUGCUUUCGGGCGUGAAAGAAAAGGUAGCUUCGGCCUCCGAUCGAGGAUGAGCCCGCGGUGGAUUAGCUUGUUGGCGGGGUAAUGGCCCACCAAGGCGACGAUCCAUAGCUGGUCUGAGAGGACGAUCAGCCACACUGGGACUGAGACACGGCCCAGACUCCUACGGGAGGCAGCAGUGGGGAAUCUUGCGCAAUGGGCGAAAGCCUGACGCAGCGACGCCGCGUGCGGGAUGAAGGUCUU
rnacentral:rRNA from 1 species